GGAAGGAGUGAAACCGGAGCCGGUGAGGGUCAGGACGGCCCGCUGCCCACCGCUGUCCCCUCCUUCCCUCAACCGUGGCACUCAGUCCCAGGUGCAGCCUCAGAACCAGUCUCAAGGCAGCAUUCCAAGCACACUGGCUGAAGCCUGUUUGCACGCAACCUCACGUGGAGGCUGAGAAGAGGAAGAGAUGGCGGUGGCGAGACAGGGUGGGGAGCUGGCACUGGUCCACGGAUGAGGCGAGAGCCAGGGUGGCUGCAGCUGGGCAAAAGGAAGGAAGCACAGAAUCUACACCGGAGACGGAAUCCACGCUCAUUAAAUGACCCCGGGAUGCCGAUGACCCGGACGCUUGGCUUCUCCAAGGGGAGAACUUUUGUCAAGGAAAAGGAUGUAAAGGAGAACUACAGGUGCUGGCCUGAGGUGGAGACACGGCCUGGGGGUGUAGGGAGAGACUAAUAUGCCUGGUGUCUGCAGGGGGAGUGAGGGCGGACUGGGGGUCAGUGUAGUGGAGUCCACCGAGGCAGGAGGGCAGUAGAUGGGCUCCCAGCCAGACCUAAGCGAACAGGAGCAGGUGGAAGAUGGGACCCAAAAAAUACGGCCUCAGUGUUCACAGCAGGCUCAUGGGUGCACCCGACAGCGUGGCCGGGCCCGUCCGGAGGGGCUGGUGAGCAGCUGCUGCCUCUGCAGGGAGAGGCACUGGGAACGGCUGAAGAUCCCAGGGAUGGGCGCCCAUUGUUUUCCUGCAAGGAACCAGACCCUGCCAGGGCCAAAGGCAGUUGUGCUUGAAACUAACAAGAACGUCUACAUCACCCGCUGACCCUCAGCCACCUCUAUCCCUGACAGCCUCAAGUGCGUCCACCCUACAGGAUGAAGCAGAUUAGCAAAGGGAUGAAUUCCAUCAGAAAAGACGUGACAUACGUCAGCCGUGACAACAAGAGUUAGGCCGGAACAGGACUGGGGAAGAGCUUGUUCUCUGGAACACUAUCAAUGGUGUGUGCAGUGCCUACCGCUGGCACCUGGGUCGAUGGAGACUCAUUCACCCAGCAGACAUGCAGUGGGCACCUGCGAGAGACAGGGGGCCUGGGCAAAGCACAUCACAGGGAGCGUUCUCUCCAGACAGGAGAAGAGGCCACCCAGACCACGGAAGAGGCUUCACCCUGACCAAGCUGGACUGCCUGGCCUGGGGCUCCCCAAGAGCCCCCAGGGGUCAGGUCCUCAGGUGCCCAGGGAGACCAGAGGCUCUGGAUAACCAGACUAGUUUUGUUUAUAUAAACAGGGUAGGAGCAAGGCUAUGAAGAAUGAAUAAGGCUUGGCAGCCAAAAAUGCAUAUCGGUGCUUUAUAGAGUCAUGUAGAAAUAAGCUGACGGCAUCUUAAACUGUGACACUCCAUCCCAACAAAGGGCCUGGUGCUACGGUGAGAGGCUGCAGAAAAGAACAGGAGUCCUUUCUGGGUAGACCCACUAGUCCUUUUGGUCCUUUCCUUCAGAAUCACAUUGGCCAACACCAGCCUUCUCCUGGAUAAAGGCUGUAAGUGGCUUGGAGACCCUGAGGGACAUGGGGGGAAGAGGGAGACUCAACCUCUUUCCUUUCAAAAAAUCCUCAAAAGAUAAAUAAUAAAGAGAUAAAUGCUUUCUGAUAUGAAAUUUUAUUUUGAAUUUUAAAAAUACGUACAUCUUACACUGCAGUUGAUCAAAACAAAGCUUAAGAAAGUAAAUCCCCGCCUCCUUUAGUACCCAGACUUACACUGGGUAC